AUUCAGGUGAAAAAGGGCAUAAGGUGGAUGCCUUGGCUUCGAGGAGCGAUGAAGGACGUGAUAAGCUGCGAUAAGCUAUGGGGAGGAGCACAUAUUCUUUGAUCCAUAGAUUUCCGAAUGGGGAAACCCGCCACGGAUACUCCGUGGCAUAUUAUGCUGAAUACAUAGGCAUAAAUAGGCGAACAAGGGGAACUGAAACAUCUAAGUACCCUUAGGAAAAUAAAUCAAUAGAGAUUCCGUUAGUAGCGGCGAGCGAACGCGGACCAGCCCAAAACGAAGGAUUAUUCCUUCGUGGUUGUAGGACCUCAAUAUGAAGAAAAGUAUUAGAGUCGAACAGUUUGGAAAGACUGGCCCUAGAAGGUUAAGGCCCUGUAGGCGAAUAAUACUCAAUUCUAGAGGUAUCCUGAGUAGGACGGGACACGUGGAAUCUUGUCUGAAUCUGGGUAGACCAUUAUCCAAGGCUAAAUAUUACUCGAAGACCGAUAGUGUACCAGUACCGUGAGGGAAAGGCGAAAAGAACCUCUAAAAGAGGAGUGAAAUAGACCCUGAAACCUUAUGCUUAAAAGCUGUGGGAGCCGCAAGGUGACCGCGUACCUUUUGCAUCAUGAGCCAACGAGUUGUUUUCAGUGGCAAGGUUAAGCUUAUAAAGCGGAGCCGUAGCGAAAGCGAGUCUUAAUAGGGCGAUUUAGUCUCUGGGAGCAGACCCGAAACCGAGUGAUCUAUCCCUGUCCAGGUUGAAGCUAAGGUAAGACUUAGUGAAGGACCGAACCGGUAGACCUUAAAACGUCUUCGGAUGAGGUGGGGAUUGGAGUGAAAGGCUAAUCAAACUCGGAGAUAGCUGGUUCUCCCCGAUAUAUAUUUAGGUAUAGCGUCCGGUUAUUGUGCUGUGGAGGUAGAGCACUGAAUAGACUAGGGGGUCUUACCGACUUACCAAAUCUAACCAGACUCCGAAUUACGCAGCAUCGACCCGGGCAGUCAGAAUGCGGGAGAUAAAUCCCGUACUCGUGAGGGAAACAACCCAGACCGUCGGCUAAGGCCCCCAAGCGUAUGUUAAGUGUUAAAGGAUGUGGAAACGCAAAAACAGCCAGGAGGUUAGCUUAGAAGCAGCUAUCCUUUAAAGAAAGCGUAAUAGCUCACUGGUCAAGUGGUUCUGCGCCGAAAAUAUAACGGGGCUCAAACAUACCGCCGAAGCCACGGACUAUUUAUUUAUUUAGAUAGUGGUAGGGGAGCGUUCUAUGUUGUUUGAAGCUAAACCGUAAGGUUUGGUGGACGGCAUAGAAGUGAGAAUGUUGGCAUAAGUAACGAAAAGAUAGGUGAGAAACCUAUCCGCCGAAAACCUAAGGUUUCCUAAGCCAUGUUAAUCAGCUUAGGGUUAGGCGGGAUCUAAGGCGAGGCUGAGAAGCGUAGUCGAAGAAUAAUCGGUUAAUAUUCCGAUCUUUGGAUAGUGUGCGAUGGAGUGACGCAGGAGGAUAGACAGGCCACCGAUUGGUUGUGGUGGUUUAAGGGCGAAGUCUGGGGUUAUAGGUAAAUCCGUUACCCUAUAGAUGAGACCUGAAUACGAAGGGCGCAAGCCUGUAAAGCUGUUAAUUCCAUGCUGCCAAGAAAAACUUCUAAGCUUAACACUAUCUGAUCCGUACCGUAAACCGACACAGGUAGGUGAGGAGAGAAUCCUAAGGCGCUUGAGAGAAACCAUGCUAAGGAACUCUGCAACUUGAGUCCGUAACUUAGGGAUAAGGACUGCCGGUAGUAUUUAAUGCUUAACAGGCAAAGGAAAAUCCGGCCACAGAAAAGAGACCCAGGCGACUGUUUAUCAAAAACACAGCUCUCUGCAAACACGUAAGUGGACGUAUAGGGGGUGACUCCUGCCCGGUGCCGGAAGGUUAAAAGGAGAAGUUAGUCGUAAGACGAAGCUUUGAAUUGAAGCCCCGGUAAACGGCGGCCGUAACUAUAACGGUCCUAAGGUAGCGAAAUUCCUUGUCGGGUAAGUUCCGACCUGCACGAAUGGAGUAACGAUCUGGGUGGUGUCUCGGUGUGGUUCUCAGUGAAAUUGAAAUAGCGGUGAAGAUGCCGUUAACCCGCGGCAAGACGAAAAGACCCCGGAACCUUUACUGUAGCUUGACGUUGUAUUUUGAAAAUUAAUGCGCAGGAUAGGUGGGAGACUGUGAGACUUGGGCUUUGGCUCAGGUGGAGUCACUGUUGAGAUACCACCCUUUGAUUUUUGGAAUACUAACCUAUUCCCGUUAUCCGGGAAAGGGACAGCGUCUGGUAGGCAGUUUGACUGGGGCGGUCGCCUCCUAAAAAGUAACGGAGGCGCACAAAGGUUCCCUCAGGUGGUAUGGAAAGCCACUAUCGAGUGCAAAGGCAUAAGGGAGCUUGACUGUAAGAGAGACAUUUCAAGCAGGUGGGAAACCAGGUCUUAGUGAUCCGGCGGUUCUGUAUGGAAGGGCCGUCGCUCAACGGAUAAAAGGUACUCCGGGGAUAACAGGCUUAUCGCGCCCAAGAGUUCAUAUCGACGGCGCGGUUUGGCACCUCGAUGUCGGCUCAUCGCAUCCUGGGGCUGGAGCAGGUCCCAAGGGUAUGGCUGUUCGCCAUUUAAAGCGGUACGUGAGUUGGGUUCAAAACGUCGUGAGACAGUUUGGUCUCUAUCUGCCGUGGGCGUUGGAAAUUUGAGAGGACCUGUUCUUAGUACGAGAGGACCGGAAUGGAUGAACCUAGGGUGUACCAGUUGUUCCGCCAGGAGCAUCGCUGGGUAGCCAAGUUCAGAAAAGAUAACCGCUGAAAGCAUCUAAGCGGGAAGCUUACCUCAAGAUAGAUUUCCCAGAAUUUAAUUCUGUAAGGUCACAGAAAGACUAUCUGUUUGAUAGGCGGGAGGUGUAAGCUCGGUAACGAGUUCAGCUGACCCGUACUAAUAGACCGAGUGACUUGAUUUU
rnacentral:rRNA from 1 species